rnacentral:lncRNA from 1 species
UUAUGUCCUUGGAGGUGUGGCCACAAAAUAGUGGAUUUUUGGAGAGUAAGAAGAACAAUGAAUCAAGAGAGAAACUAAUAUUGGGUAGUUGAUAAAGUGAGUUAAAAGCUCAUUCUUUAAACAAGAGGGGGGAGUUGGAACCAUGUGACAAAAGAGAUAAUGAAGAAUGUAUAUAUGAACAUUGGGACUUGCGAGUCAUGUGAUAAGAAUACGAAGGUUUAGCCAAAAAAAGACCCUUUAUUCAAAAGAAAGAUAUAGCAAUGUUAGAAACGUUUAUUUUAAAUUCUUAGGCUCUCACCACUGACAGCACAUGUGUAUGAUUCCAUUUCCUAUGGAACACUCAGUGUGAGGCUGAAAGAGUUAAUAAAGAACC